rnacentral:misc_RNA from 1 species
CUCCCAGUUAUAAUAUAUAUAAAUAUAUUUAUGUUCCUACAAGAGUGCCUUUAACCAAGAUGCUAAUUGUAAUAUCUCAAAAAAUGGCUGGAAAGUCCAUUUCUACCAAAUAGAUACAUGCUGAAAUACUUAAGAAAUAACAAAUUCACGAAAGAGCAAUUUUUCAUGGAGAAAACAAAGGAAACAGACUGGAUGACCAA